rnacentral:rRNA from 1 species
GACGAACGCUGGCGGCGUGCCUAAUACAUGCAAGUCGAACGAACCGCGACUGAGUGCUUGCACUUGGUCAAGGUGAGUGGCGAACGGGUGAGUAACACGUGGGUAACCUACCUCAUAGUGGGGGAUAACAGUCGGAAACGACUGCUAAUACCGCAUAGGACAUGGGAUCACAUGAUCCAGUGAGGAAAGGUGGCGCAAGCCAUCGCUAAGAGAUGGACCCGCGGUGCAUUAGCUAGUUGGUAGGGUAACGGCCUACCAAGGCGAUGAUGCAUAGCCGACCUGAGAGGGUGAUCGGCCACAUUGGGACUGAGACACGGCCCAAACUCCUACGGGAGGCAGCAGUAGGGAAUCUUCCGCAAUGGACGCAAGUCUGACGGAGCAACGCCGCGUGAGUGAAGAAGGUCUUCGGAUCGUAAAGCUCUGUUGUUAGAGAAGAACAGCGCAUAGAGUAACUGUUAUGCGUGUGACG